GAUGAACGCUGGCGGCGUGCCUAAUACAUGCAAGUCGAGCGAACAGACGAGGAGCUUGCUCCUCUGACGUUAGCGGCGGACGGGUGAGUAGCACGUGGAUAACCUACCUAUAAGACUGGGAUAACUUCGGGAAACCGGAGCUAAUACCGGAUAAUAUAUUGAACCGCAUGGUUCAAUAGUGAAAGACGGUUUUGCUGUCACUUAUAGAUGGAUCCGCGCCGCAUUAGCUAGUUGGUAAGGUAACGGCUUACCAGGGCGACGAUGCGUAGCCGACCUGAGAGGGUGAUCGGCCACACUGGAACUGAGACACGGUCCAGACUCCUACGGGAGGCAGCAGUAGGGAAUCUUCCGCAGUGGGCGAAAGCCUGACGGAGCAACGCCGCGUGAGUGAUGAAGGUCUUCGGAUCGUAAAACUCUGUUAUUAGGGAAGAACAAAUGUGUAAGUAACUAUGCACGUCUUGACGGUACCUAAUCAGAAAGCCACGGCUAACUACGU
rnacentral:rRNA from 1 species